rnacentral:lncRNA from 1 species
AUGCCAGAGAGCUUGAACAACCACAUAAAAUUAAGCAUCAUGAGUAGGUGAAUAUAGCUUCUCAAUGAAGAAUGUUAUGUGCCUUCCUUCUUGACUGAGAAUAUAUAGGUCCAACUUCCUUUGAAGAAGCAUCACACUCCACCACAAAACUUCAUUGAAAUUAGGAAGAGCUAAAGACUAGUGUGGCUCAAAUCUCUUGAUUUUGAUUUUGUCCAAGCUCGCCGGCCUUCGGGUGUCCAUUGGAAAGACUUUCCGUUCGAACAAUCAAUGGUUGGUGCCAUCAAACUGCGAAAUCCUCGAAACUGUGGUGCCAUGCAUCCAUGGCAACUACAUAUCACCGAACUUCUUCGAAAUACUUUUACUCAAUCGAAAACAAUACCAAACAUCCACUAUCUAUGGUUAUAUCACUUCCGU